rnacentral:rRNA from 1 species
AUGCAGACAGAAGCAGGACGACUGAAGCUUGUGAACCAUGAACAGGGCAAUCGUGGCCGAAAGCCUGAGCCACGCCCACGACUUUCUCACCGCGCUCUCUCUCUUUCUUUCUGCCGCGCAAUAAAACUCCGGAGCAGAGCCAAUCUACCAUGUGAGGAGCUCAGGAGCAGCGUGGCAGGGUCUCCUAUAAAACCAUUUUCCCUUGCACCAUCGCUGCACUCUGCACACUGCACUGCGCCACUAUCCAAAAUAGCUCAGCUCAGCGCUGCUCCACUCGCCGCUGAACUCGGCUGGACUGGUGACACAGUUGCACGCUACCGCGCCAUGGCUCCCCUCCUCUUCAAGGACAUGAGGAGCCUCUCGUGCUCGUCGCCGGCGUCCACGGCCAUAUGCCCCAGCCUGGAGCGCCAGCCCAUCUUCCGCCCGCAGAAGGCCGGCGUCAGCCCGCUCUUCCAGGUCCCGGCCGAGCCCAGAGCCCACAGGCAGGACGGCAGGAAAGGGCAGCACCACCACCACCACCACCGGGCUGGCGUUGCCAAUGGCGAGCUCGCCAGCCCGGCCGGGUCGACAAGGUUCCUGCUCAGCGGCUGUGCCGCCGUCGAUGAGAUCCAGGAGGUCGGCACGGCUACGGCGGCGCCUCCGGCCGCUGCCCCGGGUGGUGAUGUCAGAAGAGAGGAGCCGGCUGCUGUUGAUGUGAAGAACACGAACACCAACACGCAGGAGCAGGUGGUGGUAUUGAAGGUGUCCCUGCACUGCAAAGCGUGCGCCGGCAAGGUGAAGAAGCACCUCGCCAAGAUGGAAGGUGUUCGGACGUUCAGCAUCGACUUCGCGGCGAAGAAGGUGACGGUGGUGGGGGACGUGACCCCGCUCGGCGUGCUCGCCAGCGUCUCCAAGGUCAAGAACGCCCAGAUCUGGGCCGCGCCGCUGCCGCCGCAGCCCGCCAUGGCCGCCUAG